rnacentral:tRNA from 1 species
GCCAAUGUGGUGUAGUGGUUUGAAUGUUGGACUACAACUCUGGAGACCAGGAUUUGAUUCCUGCUUAGCCA